UUCGUUAGGAUGAUGUUUAUGGGAAGAGAGAUAAGAUGCAUUGAAUGAGUAAUCAAAGUUGGAUCGUGGGCUAAGGAGUUAAGAUGGUCUUGAAUAUCGCUGAAUUAAUGAAUCCCGUAACGUCCGGGGGAGAAGAAUCUGAGAUGAAGAACGGAUAUAGCUAAAGAGACUCACCACGAAGUUUCUUCUCCCAUAAGCAUCAAGAAACUUUAUUUCGGUGCACGUAGUUACAGAAAGAAAGAAAGAAGAAGACAAUGAGAUGGACCCUAAGAAAUCUUGGGGAGAUGAGUUAGCCAAAAUACUGUAAAAAAGUUUCUCUUGUAAGAUUAGUAAGAUGGUGGGAUGAUGUUCAUGGGAUAGAGACUGACCUUUUUUAUAGGUGGAGUUCCACCGGCUGAAAGGAGAUUAGGAGCAUUGAAUAAGGAAUCGAAGACGACAUGAAUGGAAGAUUCCAGAACCUCCAUUGUAGUUGAACCUAUUCUGAGAAUACAAAGAACCCUAAAAUCUAGAGUCGACAUCAUCCACGAUAAUGUCGUGACCUUUGUGUUUGCCUAAAAAAAGAACAGACUUGAAACAAACGUGUUAGCCCAAGUUAAGCCCG
rnacentral:lncRNA from 1 species